UCCGAUAUGGUGUAACGGCUAACAUUACCGCCUUUCAGGACUCUGAGGUUGGCCGCGGUAGCUCGGGGUUCGACUCCCCGUAUCGGAG